CAGAGACAAGAUGCUGCACAAACUAGUUCAGCGAGAAGAGGGCCCUGCUGGGAUGAAGCACCUUGCCGAUAGACUACUACGCCUUGCCAGGACUGCUCUAGGGCUGACUGGCUCUGGAAUACCAAAUGUCACAGGCUGCUUCAACCCUGGCCCCUACUGGCAUUCCUCAGCGAGAGCAACAGCAAUGCCACCGUCAUGGGGUGUUGGUGUUGGUGGUGGUGGUGAUUAAAAUAUAUAUUUGUGUUUUUUGUUUUUGCGGAAAUGUAAAUAGUUGGAAAAACUGAGGAUUUACUACAGAUAGGUAUAAUUUAUGCUCAAGUAAGCUGUAGUUUAUAAUUCAUUUGUGUAAACAAUAUAUACAGACAUAUUUCUUCUACAAAACAAUUACACUAUUAUACAGAGAGUGUGAAGAUACUAACAACAUUCUGUGCACUUGUUUCUCUAAACACUCCUUUUAGCAACUCAGCGGUUUUCCCUAUGUCAGCUGUUUCUGCUUUAUUUUUUUUAUUUUCUGUAGUUCUCAUUAUGGUAAAAAUAAUGAAGCUGCUGAGACACCAAAAUUACAUAUUUAUAGAAACAAUAAAUUAAUCUGAUUUGCUAACAAGUGUAUAAAUUUACCUUGACUGACAACAGGCUGGAAUUCCAAUACAAUUCUUUCAAGAGUGGCUUAAAACUAAAGGCAGUCUUAAAGUUUGAGAAAUAUAUAUUCAUACAAAAUAUACGGAAAUUUCAUCACAAGUAUGUACCAAAACGAUUAAAAAUACUGAUUUCUAC